rnacentral:rRNA from 1 species
CAUCAACUCUAUCUUAACUCUUUGUCUGAAAAAUAUUAUGAAUAAAACAAUUCAAAAUACAACUUUCAACAACGGAUCUCUUGGCUCUCGCAUCGAUGAAGAACGCAGCGAAAUGCGAUACGUAAUGUGAAUUGCAGAAUUCAGUGAAUCAUCGAAUCUUUGAACGCAUAUUGCGCUCUUUGGUAUUCCGAAGAGCAUGCUUGUUUGAGUAUCAGUAAACACCUCAAAGCCUUUUUUCUUUUUUGAAGAAAGGCUUUGGACUUGAGCAAUCCCAACACCAAUCUUUUAAAGAGAGGGGGCGGGUUGCUUGAAAUGCAGGUGCAGCUGGACAUUCUCCUGAGCUAAAAGCAUAUUCAUUUAGUCCCGUCAAACGGAUUAUUACUUUUUCUGCAGCUAAUAUAAAGGGAGUUUGACCAUUUUGGCUGACUGAUGCAGGAUUUUCACAAGAGUCUUCAAAACCUCUUGUUAAACUCGAUCUCAAAUCAAGUAAGACUACCCGCUGAACUUAAGCAUAUCACUAAGCGGAGGA